rnacentral:rRNA from 2 species
UACGUAGGAUCCAAGCGUUGUCCGGAUUUACUGGGUGUAAAGGGUGCGCAGGCGGACUGGUGAGUCUGGGGUGAAAUCUCGCUGCUUAACAGCGAAACUGCCUUAGAUACUAUCAGUCUUGAAUCAGCGAGAGGUUCGUGGAAUUCCGAGUGUAGCAGUGAAAUGUGUAGAUAUUCGGAAGAACACCAGUGGCGAAGGCAGCGAACUGGCGCUCGAUUGACGCUCAGGCACGAAAGCAUGGGGAUCAAACAGG